UUCAAUCCUUUGUUGGAGGGCACCUCAAUUGUUGGAGUGUAGAUCUGUCAUUUAACUGUUAGAGGGGGUAAUUCGGUUCAAUCCAGUCGGGGUGCAAUCCAACAGAUUAAAAAAAUAAAAAAGCAAUACAAAAAGAGAAAUUAAAUUAAAAAUCCAAAACGCCAAAAGAUUUUAGACUCUCGCUGGAGUAUACCAUCCAUUUCCUCCCUCCGAUAGUACGCAAGAUAGGAGUGAUUUUCUAAGACCCAAGAUUUUGGAGAUGUAACCUCCUCAACCCAUAGACUAACUUCAACCAAAAUUUUUUCCGAAUUGAGCUCUCUAUAUACUAGGAAAAACAUAAUGUCUCAAGAUUGAACAUAAAUUAUCCAAUUUUUGAGGGGCGAGAUCUAAGAGUCAAAAAACUCAAAAUUCAAAAAAAAUUUCUUUUGAGAAUAAUCAUCGAUUCUCAGCAGUUCCCAAAAUUAAGGCCGAAAAAGUCCUCCCAAGUAAGUCUUUUUAUUGAGGAAGUGAAUGUGAAAACACAAGUAAGCUCCCAUGGAGGCAUAGUAAACAUGCUCAUGCAAAAAAUGGAAAAGAACCCUCUUCUCCUGAAGUUGUGAGUGGUAUCAGGGAGGUUUUUAUUGUGAGUCGUAGUGCCAAGACUUUGGAUAGGAAAGGCAGAAAAGAGUCAUCUUCUUUUGAAGUUGUGAGUGGUACCGGGGAGGUUUUUAUUUGUAUCUCUUAUGGGCAAUUGAGAAUGGACUUGAGGUAUACAACAUUUUAAUAGCAUCAAUUGCUGCCCUCUCAAGUCCAAUGUGAACCCCUUCUUUAUUUUGAGUGGCAUCAGGUGGUACAUUAUUGGAACCUAUGUAGCAUAGAAACAAAUACAUUUAUCUAUUUGUGACUCAAAAACACUAGCUUAAAAAAAUCUGCAUUUAUAUAUACAACAAUUCAC
rnacentral:lncRNA from 1 species